UACGUAGGCAGCGAGCGUUGUUCGGAGUUACUGGGCGUAAAGGGUGUGUAGGCGGUUGUUUAAGUUUGGUGUGAAAUCUCCCGGCUCAACUGGGAGGGUGCGCCGAAUACUGAAUGACUUCGAGUGCGGGAGAGGAAAGUGGAAUUCCUGGUGUAGCGGUGAAAUGCGUAGAUAUCAGGAGGAACACCGGUGGUGUAGACGGCUUUCUGGACCGUAACUGACGCUGAGACACGAGAGCGUGGGUAGCAAACAGG
rnacentral:rRNA from 1 species